rnacentral:rRNA from 1 species
CAGCAGCCGCGGUAAUACGAAGGGUGCAAGCGUUAAUCGGAAUUACUGGGCGUAAAGCGUGCGUAGGCGGUGAGUUAAGUCUGCUGUGAAAUCCCCGGGCUCAACCUGGGAAUGGCAGUGGAUACUGGCUCGCUAGAGUGUGUCAGAGGAUGGUGGAAUUCCCGGUGUAGCGGUGAAAUACGUAGAGAUCGGGAGGAACAUCAGUGGCGAAGGCGGCCAUCUGGGACAACACUGACGCUGAGGCACGAAAGCGUGGGGAGCAAACAGGAUUAGAUACCCGUGUAGUCCCUGUCUCUUAUAC